CCCAUCAACACAAAAAUUUGGAGAGAAUGCAUAUUGAAGAAGAAGAUCCAAAAAUCCACAAUCAAUAACGUAAAAUCUACAAUCAAGAAUCAAGUUGAAGGAAUUCAAGAAUCAAGAUUAUGGAUCCAGAAGCAAAACCAAGAACAAAAACCAAAGAAUUCAAGGAGGCAAAAAUUCAAGAUUGAAAGCAAGAAACCAAUCAAGAAGGGAUUCCAGGUUGAUUUUGAAGAUUCAAGAUCUGAAAUUAAGAUCCAGUAAUAAAAAAUCGUUCCCAAAGAAUUAAGGUAAUUGGACUGAUGGUAUGGAAAGAAUUGCACCUAGGGCAAUUGGAUGCAAAGACGGUCAUUUUUUCAUGGUGAUUUGGACGAAAAAAUUACAAGAUGCAGCUAUAAGUUUUCGAGGUACAAAAACAGGGGAAAAUGGUGCUUGCAAAAAUGAAGUGACAAGUU